rnacentral:rRNA from 1 species
CCUACGGGUGGCUGCAGUGGGGAAUAUUGGGCAAUGGGCGCAAGCCUGACCCAGCAACGCCGCGUGAAGGAAGAAGGCUUUCGGGUUGUAAACUUCUUUUAAGGGGGAAGAGCAGAAGACUGUAUCCCCUGAAUAAGCCACGGCUAACUAAGUGCCAGCAGCCGCGGUAAUACGUAGGUGGCACGCGUUGUCCGGAUUUACUGGGUGUAAAGGGCGUGCAGACGGGGAGAAAAGUCAGAUGUGAAAUCCACGGGCUCAACCCGGGGACUGCAUUUGAAACUGUUUCCCUGGAGUGUCGGAGGGGUAAGCGGAAUUCCUGGUGUAGCGGUGAAAUGCGUAGAUAUAAGGAAGAACACCAGUGGCGAAGGCGGAUUACUGGACGAUAACUGACGGUGAGGCGCGAAAGCGUGGGGAGCAAACAGGAUUAGAUACCCGGGUAGUC